UACGGAGGGGGCUAGCGUUGUUCGGAAUUACUGGGCGUAAAGCGCACGUAGGCGGCUUUGUAAGUUAGAGGUGAAAGCCCAGGGCUUAACCCUGGAAUUGCCUUUAAGACUGCAUCGCUAGAAUCGUGGAGAGGUGAGUGGAAUUCCGAGUGUAGAGGUGAAAUUCGUAGAUAUUCGGAGGAACACCAGUGGCGAAGGCGGCUCACUGGCUCGGUACUGACGCUGAGGUGCGAAAGCGUGGGGAGCAAACAGG
rnacentral:rRNA from 1 species